rnacentral:rRNA from 1 species
GGAAAAAGAAGAGUGGCGAACGGGUGAGUAACACGUGGGUAACCUGCCCAUCAGAAGGGGAUAACACUUGGAAACAGGUGCUAAUACCGUAUAACAAUCAAAACCGCAUGGUUUUGAUUUGAAAGGCGCUUUCGGGUGUCGCUGAUGGAUGGACCCGCGGUGCAUUAGCUAGUUGGUGAGGUAACGGCUCACCAAGGCCACGAUGCAUAGCCGACCUGAGAGGGUGAUCGGCCACAUUGGGACUGAGACACGGCCCAAACUCCUACGGGAGGCAGCAGUAGGGAAUCUUCGGCAAUGGACGAAAGUCUGACCGAGCAACGCCGCGUGAGUGAAGAAGGUUUUCGGAUCGUAAAACUCUGUUGUUAGAGAAGAACAAGGAUGAGAGUAACUGUUCAUCCCUUGACGGUAUCUAACCAGAAAGCCACGGCUAACUACGUGCCAGCAGCCGCGGUAAUACGUAGGUGGCAAGCGUUGUCCGGAUUUAUUGGGCGUAAAGCGAGCGCAGGCGGUUUCUUAAGUCUGAUGUGAAAGCCCCCGGCUC